rnacentral:rRNA from 1 species
UCUUUUGUUUAUUGAUAUAAGGUCUAACCUGCCCAAUGAUUAUAAUUAUUGAAUGGCCGCGGUAUAUUAACUGUGCUAAGGUAGCAUAAUCACUUGUCUUUUAAUUGAAGGCUGGAAUGAAUGGUUGGACAAGAUGCAUACUUUCUUUGAUUUAUUCGUUGAAUUUAAUUUUUUAGUUAAAAAGCUAAAAUUUUUUUGAGGGACGAGAAGACCCUAUAGAUCUUUAUAUUUUUAUUUAUUAUAUAUUUUAGUGUUUAUUUAUUAUUUUAAUAAAUAAAUUUAUUUGGUUGGGGUGACUGUAGAAUUUAAUUAACUUCUAUUUUUAUUUUUCAUUAAUUAGUGUACAAUUGAUCCAAUUUUUUUGAUUAAAAGAUUAAG